AAGAGUAGUUCUUGGGCCGUAAACUCCUAUAAAGGGGUCAAAUGACACCCUAACUCCUUCCUUAAGCCAAGAGACCAAUUUGGGCAUGUACCUAAAUGAUUUUUGGACUAGUUAAAACACUUAGAACACCAAGAGUGAGGGAGUUUACGGCCCAAAAGGUUCUAGGGCCGUAAACUCCAUAAAAUGGUGCCAAAUGUGCCAUAAACUCUUCUAAAGCCAAGUACAAAAGCCUAGUUUAGUUCCUAGAAAUGUUUGAGACUUGAAAACACCAUAAAAACCCUCCCAAGGGAGUUUACGGCCGUAAACUCCAAGGGAAUAUGGUCUCUGGACCGUAAACUCCCCAAAGGAGUUAAUAUGCUGCCCAAACACUUGUUAUAGCCUUGAAACAAUUCACCACAUGAGUUGUAAUAAUUCUAAGCUCCAUUUAGGGCCUUGGUUGAGAGUUUAUGGCCAGGAGUUUACUCCCCUGGGCCGUAAACUCCAAUGAAUAUGGUCAUUAGACCUUAAACUCCCAUUAGGGGCUUUGCACUCUUUUGUUGCAACCCAUUAGCCUCCUAGCACUUGACCAAAAGUGUUUUCCUCGCGCUUAAAUGUUUAUACUUGUAUAAUUAGUGUUUUUAUCACUAAUUAUUUAUAUACAUAUACUUUCAUAUGAAAUUUGGAUCAUUGUGUGUGUCUAAGUCUUCACUUGACACCAAGCACUUGCCCGAUCCUUCCUUACGAUAACAGUCCGUUCAAUUCCAGUCACUCACUGCAGGUGAGUUCAUACCCCUUAACUAAUGUUUUAAACUACUUUUAAAUGUUUUAUGGGGGGGAAAUACAAGUAGAAUCAUGCUACUUAUUAUAUCAAUCACAUGUGAUUAAUAAGUAGAAUUAUGCUAGUUAUUACAUCAAUCACAUGUGAUUAAUAUACAACAUUCAAAUGAUUUGGCUACUCAUUAGCCGUUUUGCCAAACAGUUUUCCUACAGAUGAUUUUUAUAAACAUUUUAUAUGUUUUAAACUCCUUAUUGCACUGUGCAUCUUACUUUGUGCAGUACCUUUCAAACUUAUUUACAACUGUGUUUCAAACAAAUGUUUCCUUACACUUAACUGCUUUAUCAAACUUAUGCCUUCAAAUUGUUUUAUAGAUUGACAUCAAGUCAAUCUUUUCUUAAAAUAAUAUUUAUGUUUCAAAUGUCUUACAAAACUUAUUUAUGCUUUUAUAUUAUAAAUUGCAUGCCUCUAUAUGUAUAGUUAUAUAAGAAAUGUUUAAAAGACUUAGGAAGGCUAUCCACCCUAUUUCCUUUUCGCGCUUGAGAUGUGGUCUGGUGGGAUAUCGGGUACNUAGGAAGGUUAUCCACCCUAUUUCCUUUUCACGCUUGAGAUGUGGUCUGGUGGGAUAUCGGGUACUCGUCCGAAGGUCGUUUAAAUAUUAGUUAUAUAUCAUGUGUACAUAUAUAGUCAUAAAAGGUCCUUCCAGUUCAUCAGAUACCCUUGGGUAGCAAGGGUAUACCUCCACAUCCAUACGUAUCAGUUAGAUUACUAGUAAACUACCAUAUGGGUAGUUUAGGAAGAUACUAGAACGCAAUAUCAUACAAUGAGCCAGUUCAUUCAUGAGUCAAUACCUUCUAGAUCAUUACUGUACAUUACUAUACUUACUAGGUAGAAAGCACAUACAUGACGGCUAUAACAUUACAUUACUAUACUUGCU
rnacentral:lncRNA from 1 species